rnacentral:rRNA from 1 species
GACGAACGCUGGCGGCGUGCCUAAUACAUGCAAGUCGAACGAACUCUGGUAUUGAUUGGUGCUUGCAUCAUGAUUUACAUUUGAGUGAGUGGCGAACUGGUGAGUAACGCGUGGGAAACCUGCCCAGAAGCGGGGGAUAACACCUGGAAACAGAUGCUAAUACCGCAUAACAACUUGGACCGCAUGGUCCGAGUUUGAAAGAUGGCUUCGGCUAUCACUUUUGGAUGGUCCCGCGGCGUAUUAGCUAGAUGGUGGGGUAACGGCUCACCAUGGCAAUGAUACGUAGCCGACCUGAGAGGGUAAUCGGCCACAUUGGGACUGAGACACGGCCCAAACUCCUACGGGAGGCAGCAGUAGGGAAUCUUCCACAAUGGACGAAAGUCUGAUGGAGCAACGCCGCGUGAGUGAAGAAGGGUUUCGGCUCGUAAAACUCUGUUGUUAAAGAAGAACAUAUCUGAGAGUAACUGUUCAGGUAUUGACGGUAUUUAACCAGAAAGCCACGGCUAACUACGUGCCAGCAGCCGCGGUAAUACGUAGGUGGCAAGCGUUGUCCGGAUUUAUUGGGCGUAAAGCGAGCGCAGGCGGUUUUUUAAGUCUGAUGUGAAAGCCUUCGGCUCAACCGAAGAAGUGCAUCGGAAACUGGGAAACUUGAGUGCAGAAGAGGACAGUGGAACUCCAUGUGUAGCGGUGAAAUGCGUAGAUAUAUGGAAGAACACCAGUGGCGAAGGCGGCUGUCUGGUCUGUAACUGACGCUGAGGCUCGAAAGUAUGGGUAGCAAACAGGAUUAGAUACCCUGGUAGUCCAUACCGUAAACGAUGAAUGCUAAGUGUUGGAGGGUUUCCGCCCUUCAGUGCUGCAGCUAACGCAUUAAGCAUUCCGCCUGGGGAGUACGGCCGCAAGGCUGAAACUCAAAGGAAUUGACGGGGGCCCGCACAAGCGGUGGAGCAUGUGGUUUAAUUCGAAGCUACGCGAAGAACCUUACCAGGUCUUGACAUACUAUGCAAAUCUAAGAGAUUAGACGUUCCCUUCGGGGACAUGGAUACAGGUGGUGCAUGGUUGUCGUCAGCUCGUGUCGUGAGAUGUUGGGUUAAGUCCCGCAACGAGCGCAACCCUUAUUAUCAGUUGCCAGCAUUAAGUUGGGCACUCUGGUGAGACUGCCGGUGACAAACCGGAGGAAGGUGGGGAUGACGUCAAAUCAUCAUGCCCCUUAUGACCUGGGCUACACACGUGCUACAAUGGAUGGUACAACGAGUUGCGAACUCGCGAGAGUAAGCUAAUCUCUUAAAGCCAUUCUCAGUUCGGAUUGUAGGCUGCAACUCGCCUACAUGAAGUCGGAAUCGCUAGUAAUCGCGGAUCAGCAUGCCGCGGUGAAUACGUUCCCGGGCCUUGUACACACCGCCCGUCACACCAUGAGAGUUUGUAACACCCAAAGUCGGUGGGGUAACCUUUUAGGAAUCAGCCGCCUAAGGUGGGACAGAUGAUUAGGGUGGUAG